UACGUAGGGGGCAAGCGUUGUCCGGAAUCAUUGGGCGUAAAGAGCGUGUAGGCGGCUCGAUAAGUCUGCUGUGAAAGUCCAGGGCUCAACCCUGGAAGGCCGGUGGAAACUGUCGGGCUAGAGUCCGGAAGAGGCGAGUGGAAUUCCCGGUGUAGCGGUGAAAUGCGCAGAUAUCGGAAGGAACACCAAUGGCGAAGGCAGCUCGCUGGGACGGUACUGACGCUGAGACGCGAAAGCGUGGGGAGCAAACAGG
rnacentral:rRNA from 1 species